rnacentral:rRNA from 1 species
UACGAAGGGGGCUAGCGUUGCUCGGGAUCACUGGGAGUAAAGGGUGCGUAGGCGGGUCUUUAAGUCAGGGGUGAAAUCCUGGAGCUCAACUCCAGAACUGCCUUUGAUACUGAAGAUCUUGAGUUCGGGAGAGGUGAGUGGAACUGCGAGUGUAGAGGUGAAAUUCGUAGAUAUUCGCAAGAACACCAGUGGCGAAGGCGGCUCACUGGCCCGAUACUGACGCUGAGGCACGAAAGCGUGGGGAGCAAACAGG